ACCUGCAAAUAACACUAAGAAGUAGAACAAGGAUCAAAGAAUAAUGUCAUCUGAGGUAGAAAAAAAAACAAGCUCAGGGAUAUGUGUGAGGGGGUAGAUCCUACAGUGGUUUCUUUCAGGAUCCUGAAUGUCCCAGGGUCUGCUGGGAUAGAGUAUGCAGAGAGACAGAGUUCUGGUCACCUAUGAAGGUAUAACAUUUGGAGGAGCAGCUGCUGUGGAGAUAGAGGAAAUAACCAGAUGUUUAAAGUAACAAGGAAGGGUUCACUUCAUUCUAACCAAAGCAUGGCAAAGCUUAUGUCAUUUUAGAAGUAUGAUUGCCCAGGAGGGGUGGCUUUUUGAGCUUUUGCUACUCUGUGAAGUAACUAUGGAGAUACCUCGUGAUUUCAAGAAUCUACUUUCACCAAUGACAAUGGGGACACAGAUUUGUUUGUUUUCUUCAGUUUAUUCCUUCUAUGAUUCCUCCCAUUCAUAAUGGGAGGAAUAAAAUAUAACCUUGGUGGCCCACAUAUUCAUCUGAGUAAUAUUGACCUUGUGUCUAGCCUUUGUGAAUUGCAUCAUCCCUGUUGUGCUUGUUACCAUCACAAUUCCCAUUGUGUUGGACAGCUUUGGGAUUGGUUGGUCUUUGUUGUCAUGGUUAUAUUUGAGAUCCUGAGCUGGGCAGUUUUCAGCCUGACACAUUGUCAUAUUGAAGAAUAUUGCAUUCAGGCUUCAGAAACCCCCUUUUAAAUAACUUAGUGUUUAGAUGUAGAAACAACAACUCUUCUAAGAAGCUAAAUAAAAGGGAUGAAGAAAUAAAGUAUGCUGAACCAAUGGAUCUGGCCAAUUUGUUUGACACCAUUUCUUCUAUGGUUAUGGCCUGCUAUGCCUUUGGAUACAUGGAUGUGUUCUAUUGGGGGGCUUUAUGGGUCGUAACUACCUCCGUUGGCCAGCUCCUCUUCUCUUAUCAUCACUAUUUGAACAAUGAUGCUUAUCGUACCACCAAAUUUGGCUUCCAUAGUCUCUUUUGGCAGAAACAAGCUUGGGAACAAUUCAUGAUAACAGUAAUCAUCAGGUCAAAAAAUGUGGAUGAGACCAGGGAAGGAAUUAUUGGGGAUUUCUUUUGCUGUAUUAUUGCCAGUAUUUUGGUCCUGACGUCCCUCAGUAUAAGCCUCUUAGAAUUGAUUCAGAAUGUUUUCUUUGCUCUUCUUACUAUCCACACCAUUCAUCAAUUAUCUACUAAGGAAGAUGAAAAAAAUAACUUUUGCUUUGGGAGUAUCUGUUUCCUUUAUGCUCUUAUUUCCCUGUAUGCUACUUGUGCUAGUGUAGUGAAUUCAGAAGAGAAAAAAAAAAUGAUGCCCACUGGGGCCUACGUCAUUUCAAAAUACAAAUUUCUGGAGAUCCUUUGUCCUUUUAAAAACCUCAUUCAGCUUAUUCGAUCAAAUGGAUUCCCAGAAAUCAACAGCUCCCUUAUUUUGAAUACCUUAUUGUAUGUCUGCAAUGGCCUGACUGCCCUCUCAGCUAUCCAGGGCACGUUGAUUAAUUCCUCUAACCAUUCUGGCAGAAUCCCUUCUGUCAUGACUCCAGGAGCCGUGUUUCAGAUAUAUGUGUGCAAUACCCAGGCCCAAAAAGGGGGAAGGUUUUCAACACUCCUGCCAUUCUGUUAUGCUGCUACCUGGGCAACCUGGACUUGGCUUCAAUUUUCAAGGUCUUUCAAUGAUUCUGAAAGCACUAAGGGCAUCUCACUAGGGACUUUGAUCUUCCUGAUAAUCAAUGUCUUCUUCCUCAUAUUAGAUUCUGAUGUAAAUAUAAUCCUGGUGCUAUUGACUCUUUGCAUGGAAAUACUGAGUAUCAGUUUCUUUUUGAUUACUUGUGAACGGUUGCCUCUUCCAUUGGAGGUCACUAUGUUGGCUAUUCUUUGUGCUGUUUCCAUCUAUAUGACUGUAGCUUCUUUCACCAUAUUCAUGUUUAGGACAGACUUUAUUUCCUUGGGAUUCACUGUGAAUGAGAAGCAACAAGAGGCACAUCCAUCUUUGUUCCAUAAAUUCAACUGGCCUAAGUCUUCCUUUCCUGAAUAUUCUGUGCCCAAUGUAAGCCACAGCAGAAGAAGUAUGCUAAACAUUUUAAAAUGCCUUAAAGAUAAUGACUUGUGUACAAAUGCACUUGAGAUGCUGAAUGAUCUGAUGGCAAGGAAGAAAGAAAGUUCUGGGGACCACUGUAGAAUCCAGAAUAUGAGUUUCCCAACAUGUCAUCCUCUGAGGCUUACAUCGCGAAAUAAAAAUGCUCCUUCAUCAGUGAAAUCUCUUCAACAAGCAAGGAAUGUACAGGCACUUAUAAAGAUCUUUGAGGAUGAUUCCAUAUCUGCUACAUCCACUGACAUUGAAAGGGAAUCUCAGAGUGACUCAUACAAGCAAAAACAGGAGUUACUCAGAAAAAAUCUAUGCAAUAUCCAAAUGCCAGUCCUUGAAAUAUUUGAAGUUUUAAGACAAAGUAGCAAAGCUAGCAUCAUUGAUAUCCCUGAGAUUUAG
rnacentral:lncRNA from 1 species